AAUUAAAACUUUUAACAACGGAUCUCUUGGUUCUGGCAUCGAUGAAGAACGCAGCGAAAUGCGAUAAGUAAUGUGAAUUGCAGAAUUCAGUGAAUCAUCGAAUCUUUGAACGCACAUUGCGCCCCCUGGUAUUCCGGGGGGCAUGCCUGUUCGAGCGUCAUUUCACCACUCAAGCCUCGCUUGGUAUUGGGCAACGCGGUCCG
rnacentral:rRNA from 1 species